GAUGAACGCUGGCGGCGUGCCUAAUACAUGCAAGUCGAGCGAACGGACGAGAAGCUUGCUUUUCUGAUGUUAGCGGCGGACGGGUGAGUAACACGUGGAUAACCUACCUAUAAGACUGGGAUAACUUCGGGAAACCGGAGCUAAUACCGGAUAAUAUUUUGAACCGCAUGGUUCAAAAGUGAAAGACGGCCNUGCUGUCACUUAUAGAUGGAUCCGCGCUGCAUUAGCUAGUUGGUAAGGUAACGGCUUACCAAGGCAACGAUGCAUAGCCGACCUGAGAGGGUGAUCGGCCACACUGGAACUGAGACACGGUCCAGACUCCUACGGGAGGCAGCAGUAGGGAAUCUUCCGCAAUGGGCGAAAGCCUGACGGAGCAACGCCGCGUGAGUGAUGAAGGUCUUCGGAUCGUAAAACUCUGUUAUUAGGGAAGAACAUAUGUGUAAGUAACUGUGCACAUCUUGACGGUACCUAAUCAGAAAGCCACGGCUAACUACGUGCCAGCAGCCGCGGUAAUACGUAGGUGGCAAGCGUUAUCCGGAAUUAUUGGGCGUAAAGCGCGCGUAGCGGUUUUUUAAGUCUGAUGUGAAAGCCCACGGCUCAACCGUGGAGGGUCAUUGGAAACUGGAAAACUUGAGUGCAGAAGAGGAAAGUGGAAUUCCAUGUGUAGCGGUGAAAUGCGCAGAGAUGUGGAGGAACACCAGUGGCGAAGGCGACUUUCUGGUCUGUAACUGACGCUGAUGUGCGAAAGCGUGGGGAUCAAACAGGAUUAGAUACCCUGGUAGUCCACGCCGUAAACGAUGAGUGCUAAGUGUUAGGGGGUUUCCGCCCCUUAGUGCUGCAGCUAACGCAUUAAGCACUCCGCCUGGGGAGUACGACCGCAAGGUUGAAACUCAAAGGAAUUGACGGGGGCCCGCACAAGCGGUGGAGCAUGUGGUUUAAUUCGAAGCAACGCGAAGAACCUUACCAAAUCUUGACAUCCUUUGACAACUCUAGAGAUAGAGCCUUCCCCUUCGGGGGACAAAGUGACAGGUGGUGCAUGGUUGUCGUCAGCUCGUGUCGUGAGAUGUUGGGUUAAGUCCCGCAACGAGCGCAACCCUUAAGCUUAGUUGCCAUCAUUAAGUUGGGCACUCUAAGUUGACUGCCGGUGACAAACCGGGGGAAGGUGGGGAUGACGUCAAAUCAUCAUGCCCCUUAUGAUUUGGGCUACACACGUGCUACAAUGGACAAUACAAAGGGCAGCGAAACCGCGAGGUCAAGCAAAUCCCAUAAAGUUGUUCUCAGUUCGGAUUGUAGUCUGCAACUCGACUACAUGAAGCUGGAAUCGCUAGUAAUCGUGGAUCAGCAUGCUACGGUGAAUACGUUCCCGGGUCU
rnacentral:rRNA from 1 species